rnacentral:rRNA from 1 species
CCUACGGGGAGCAGCAGUGAGGAAUAUUGGUCAAUGGACGAGAGUCUGAACCAGCCAAGUAGCGUGAAGGAUGACUGCCCUAUGGGUUGUAAACUUCUUUUAUAUGGGAAUAAAAUGUUCCACGUGUGGGAUUUUGUAUGUACCAUAUGAAUAAGGAUCGGCUAACUCCGUGCCAGCAGCCGCGGUAAUACGGAGGAUCCGAGCGUUAUCCGGAUUUAUUGGGUUUAAAGGGAGCGUAGGUGGAAUGUUAAGUCAGUUGUGAAAGUUUGCGGCUCAACCGUAAAAUUGCAGUUGAAACUGGCAGUCUUGAGUACAGUAGAGGUGGGCGGAAUUCGUGGUGUAGCGGUGAAAUGCUUAGAUAUCACGAAGAACUCCGAUUGCGAAGGCAGUUCACUGGACUGCAACUGACACUGAGGCUCGAAAGUGUGGGUAUCAAACAGGAUUAGAUACCCGGGUAGUC